AGCGAACGUUAGCGGCGGGCCUAACACAUGCAAGUCGAACGCGAAAGGUCUUCGGACUGAGUAGAGUGGCGCACGGGUGAGUAACACGUAGGUAAUCUACCCUUUGGCGGGGGAUAACGUUCCGAAAGGAGCGCUAAUACCGCAUAAGACCACGGAGUCUCCGGACGCUGUGGGAAAAGGUGGCCUCUUCUUGAAAGCUACCACCGAAGGAUGAGCCUGCGUCCCAUCAGCUAGUUGGUAAGGUAAUGGCUUACCAAGGCGAAGACGGGUAGCUGGUUUGAGAGAAUGAUCAGCCACACUGGCACUGGAACACGGGCCAGACUCCUACGGGAGGCAGCAGUGAGGAAUAUUGGGCAAUGGGCGAAAGCCUGACCCAGCCACGCCGCGUGAGUGAUGAAGGCCCUCGGGUCGUAAAGCUCUGUGGAGAGGGACGAAAACCCUAGGUUUCAAAUAGGCUCCAGGCUUGACGGUACCUCUUUAGCAAGCACCGGCUAACUCUGUGCCAG
rnacentral:rRNA from 1 species